UACGUAGGGGGCAAGCGUUGUCCGGAAUCAUUGGGCGUAAAGAGCGCGUAGGCGGCCCAGUAAGUCCGCUCUGAAAGUCAGGGGCUCAACCCCUGGAUGCGGGUGGAUACUGCUGGGCUAGAGUCCGGAAGAGGUGAGUGGAAUUCCUGGUGUAGCGGUGAAAUGCGUAGAUAUCUGGAGGAAUACCGGUGGCGAAGGCGGCAUCCUGGACCGACAUUGACGCUGAGGAGCGAAAGCCAGGGGAGCAAACGGG
rnacentral:rRNA from 1 species